CUAAGGAAACCAAUAAAAUCAAUCAUCUUCAGUUUUGACAGACC
rnacentral:misc_RNA from 1 species